rnacentral:rRNA from 1 species
GACGAACGCUGGCGGCGUGCUUAACACAUGCAAGUCGAACGGUAAGGCUCCAGCUUGCUGGGGUACACGAGUGGCGAACGGGUGAGUAACACGUGGGUGACCUGCCCUGCACUUCGGGAUAAGCCUGGGAAACUGGGUCUAAUACCGGAUAGGACCGCACCGUGAGGGUGUGGUGGAAAGUUUUUUCGGUGUGGGAUGGGCUCGCGGCCUAUCAGCUUGUUGGUGGGGUAAUGGCCUACCAAGGCGGCGACGGGUAGCCGGCCUGAGAGGGUGGACGGCCACAUUGGGACUGAGACACGGCCCAGACUCCUACGGGAGGCAGCAGUGGGGAAUAUUGCACAAUGGGCGGAAGCCUGAUGCGGCGACGCCGCGUGGGGGAUGACGGCCUUCGGGUUGUAAACUCCUUUCACCAUCGACGAAGGGUUUCUGACGGUAGAUGGAGAAGAAGCACCGGCUAACUACGUG